ACUUUAUGAUUUGGGCAUUGAGCAAGCUUACUAUUAAACCUCUCCCAAGCUUCAAACAACGAUUCUUCAUUCAUUUGCCAAAAAUUUACAAUCUCAUUCUAUUUUU
rfam:Capsicum annuum cultivar Zunla-1 chromosome 5, whole genome shotgun sequence